GUGGGGAAUAUUGGACAAUGGGGGGAACCCUGAUCCAGCCAUGCCGCGUGUGUGAAGAAGGCCUUUUGGUUGUAAAGCACUUUAAGCGAGGAGGAGGCUACCGAGAUUAAUACUCUUGGAUAGUGGACGUUACUCGCAGAAUAAGCACCGGCUAACUCUGUGCCAGCAGCCGCGGUAAUACAGAGGGUGCAAGCGUUAAUCGGAUUUACUGGGCGUAAAGCGCGCGUAGGUGGCCAAUUAAGUCAAAUGUGAAAUCCCCGAGCUUAACUUGGGAAUUGCAUUCGAUGCUGGUUGGCUAGAGUAUGGGAGAGGAUGGUAGAAUUCCAGGUGUAGCGGUGAAAUGCGUAGAGAUCUGGAGGAAUACCGAUGGCGAAGGCAGCCAUCUGGCCUAAUACUGACACUGAGGUGCGAAAGCAUGGGGAGCAAACAGGAUUAGAAACCCGGGUAGUAC
rnacentral:rRNA from 1 species